rnacentral:rRNA from 1 species
CCUACGGGAGGCAGCAGUGGGGAAUAUUGGACAAUGGGCGAAAGCCUGAUCCAGCCAUGCCGCGUGUGUGAAGAAGGCCUUCGGGUUGUAAAGCACUUUCAGUGGGGAAGAAAGCCUUGGGGCUAAUACCCUCGAGGAAGGACAUCACCCACAGAAGAAGCACCGGCUAACUCCGUGCCAGCAGCCGCGGUAAUACGGAGGGUGUGAGCGUUAAUCGGAAUUACUGGGCGUAAAGCGCGCGUAGGCGGUCUGAUAAGCCGGUUGUGAAAGCCCCGGGCUCAACCUGGGAACGGCAUCCGGAACUGUCAGGCUAGAGUGCAGGAGAGGAAGGUAGAAUUCCCGGUGUAGCGGUGAAAUGCGUAGAGAUCGGGAGGAAUACCAGUGGCGAAGGCGGCCUUCUGGACUGACACUGACGCUGAGGUGCGAAAGCGUGGGUAGCAAACAGGAGUAGAUACCCGGGUAGUC